rnacentral:lncRNA from 1 species
CUGCCUUCCUCAGCACAGAGACACUGGGAGGCAGCUGUGGGCAGAUGACUCCUAUGCGCUGGCAGCUCUCUGCAGUUUCCAAAGCCCUGUCUCAUCCAGUAGCGCUGAUGGGCUUCUCUGAGCCUCAGUUUCCUCUGUAAAAUGGAGAGAAAACACUGAUGCCUGCUCCCCCGCCCACCCUCACAGGGCACUCUUUGCCUGCUAAAGCCCUGUGGACAGUCUUUUUCUCCUGUGAAUGCAUAGGAUGUGAGGAAAUGGAUGAAAACACAUAAAUCUAAAUUGGGAUCACUUAGUUUCGUAUCCUGCUUUUUUUCCUGCAUUUUUAUGAAUUACUUAAUACAUACAAAGAGUGUGUGUACCGUUUAAAGAACAGUAAUAAAAUAAACAGCCAGAUCUCCACUACGCAAUUUGAGAAUUAUAUCCUACUUUUCCACUUAGCGUUGUGCUCUGGACGUUUUCCCGUGCCAUUAAAUAUUCUCUGAGAACUUGGGUUUUAACGGC